UGAGGAAUAUUGGUCAAUGGGCGAGAGCCUGAACCAGCCAAGUCGCGUGAAGGAAGACAGUCCUAAGGAUUGUAAACUUCUUUUAUACGGGAAUAACGGGCGAUACGAGUAUUGCAUUGAAUGUACCGUAAGAAUAAGCAUCGGCUAACUCCGUGCCAGCAGCCGCGGUAAUACGGAGGAUGCGAGCGUUAUCCGGAUUUAUUGGGUUUAAAGGGUGCGUAGGUUGUUCGGUAAGUCAGCGGUGAAACCUGAGCGCUCAACGUUCAGCCUGCCGUUGAAACUGCCGGGCUUGAGUUCAGUGGCGGCAGGCGGAAUUCGUGGUGUAGCGGUGAAAUGCAUAGAUAUCACGAGGAACUCCGAUUGCGAAGGCAGCUUGCCAUACUGCGACUGACAAUGAAGCACGAAGGCGUGGGUAUCAAACAGG
rnacentral:rRNA from 1 species